GACGAACGCUGGCGGCGUGCUUAACACAUGCAAGUGGAGCGACGAACCGGGGCUUGCCCCGGGGCAGAGCCGCGAACGGGUGAGUAACACGUGGGUAACCCACCCCGAUGACCGGGACAACCCGAGGAAACUCGGGCUAAUACCGGAUGUGCUCCUUGACCCCGAGGUCAAGGCGUAAAGAUAGCUUCGGCCUUCGCAUCGGGACGGGCCCGCGGCCCAUUAGCUUGUUGGUGGGGUAACGGCCUACCAAGGCGACGAUGGGAGCUGGUCUGAGAGGACGAUCAGCCACACUGGGACUGAGACACGGCCCAGACUCCUACGGGAGGCAGCAGUGGGGAAUCUUGCGCAAUGCGCGAAAGCGUGACGCAGCAACGCCGCGUGGGGAAGACGGCCU
rnacentral:rRNA from 1 species